GGUUAAGCGACUAAGCGUACACGGUGGAUGCCCUGGCAGUCAGAGGCGAUGAAGGACGUGCUAAUCUGCGAUAAGCGCCGGUAAGGUGAUAUGAACCGUUAUAACCGGCGAUUUCCGAAUGGGGAAACCCAGUGUGACUCGUCACACUAUCAUUAACUGAAUCCAUAGGUUAAUGAGGCGAACCGGGGGAACUGAAACAUCUAAGUACCCCGAGGAAAAGAAAUCAACCGAGAUUCCCCCAGUAGCGGCGAGCGAACGGGGAGGAGCCCAGAGCCUGAAUCAGCAUGUGUGUUAGUGGAAGCGUCUGGAAAGGCGCGCGAUACAGGGUGACAGCCCCGUACACAAAAGCGCAUGUGCUGUGAGCUCGAUGAGUAGGGCGGGACACGUGGUAUCCUGUCUGAAUAUGGGGGGACCAUCCUCCAAGGCUAAAUACUCCUGACUGACCGAUAGUGAACCAGUACCGUGAGGGAAAGGCGAAAAGAACCCCGGCGAGGGGAGUGAAAAAGAACCUGAAACCGUGUACGUACAAGCAGUGGGAGCACCCUUUGGGGUGUGACUGCGUACCUUUUGUAUAAUGGGUCAGCGACUUAUAUUCUGUAGCAAGGUUAACCGAAUAGGGGAGCCGGAGGGAAACCGAGUCUUAAUUGGGCGUUAAGUUGCAGGGUAUAGACCCGAAACCCGGUGAUCUAGCCAUGGGCAGGUUGAAGGUUGGGUAACACUAACUGGAGGACCGAACCGACUAAUGUUGAAAAAUUAGCGGAUGACCUGUGGCUGGGGGUGAAAGGCCAAUCAAACCGGGAGAUAGCUGGUUCUCCCCGAAAGCUAUUUAGGUAGCGCCUCGUGAAUUCAUCUCCGGGGGUAGAGCACUGUUUCGGCUAGGGGGCCAUCCCGGCUUACCAACCCGAUGCAAACUGCGAAUACCGGAGAAUGUUAUCACGGGAGACACACGGCGGGUGCUAACGUCCGUCGUGAAGAGGGAAACAACCCAGACCGCCAGCUAAGGUCCCAAAGUCAUGGUUAAGUGGGAAACGAUGUGGGAAGGCCCAGACAGCCAGGAUGUUGGCUUAGAAGCAGCCAUCAUUUAAAGAAAGCGUAAUAGCUCACUGGUCGAGUCGGCCUGCGCGGAAGAUGUAACGGGGCUAAACCAUGCACCGAAGCUGCGGCAGCGACGCUGAUGCGUUGUUGGGUAGGGGAGCGUUCUGUAAGCCUGUGAAGGUGGCCUGUGAGG
rnacentral:rRNA from 1 species